rnacentral:rRNA from 1 species
AUCUACAGCCAUGUUUCACCAAAUCCUCCAAUCUCAUCUGAUCUUGGAUGCUAAGCAGGGUCAGACCUGGUUAGUACAUGGGUGGGAGAAACCCAACACCAUGCUGACCAAAGCUUCUCUAGCUGUACAAA